rnacentral:rRNA from 1 species
UACGGAGGAUGCAAGCGUUAUCCGGAAUGAUUGGGCGUAAAGCGUCCGCAGGUGGCUAUGUAAGUCUGCUGUUAAAGAGUGAGGCUCAACCUCAUAAGAGCAGUGGAAACUACAUAGCUAGAGUGCGUUCGGGGCAGAGGGAAUUCCUGGUGUAGCGGUGAAAUGCGCAGAUAUCAGGAAGAACACCCGUGGCGAAGGCGGCUCUCUGGGACGGUACUGACGCUGAGACGCGAAAGCGUGGGGAGCGAACAGG